rnacentral:rRNA from 1 species
AUACGUAGGUGGCAAGCGUUGUCCGGAAUUACUGGGUGUAAAGGGCGUGUAGGCGGGAAUGUAAGUCAGAUGUGAAAUCCCAGGGCUUAACCCUGGAGCUGCAUCUGAAACUAUGUUUCUUGAGUGCCGGAGAGGAAAGCGGAAUUCCUAGUGUAGCGGUGAAAUGCGUAGAUAUUAGGAGGAACACCAGUGGCGAAGGCGGCUUUCUGGACGGUAACUGACGCUGAGGCGCGAAAGCGUGGGGAGCAAACAGGAUUAGAUACCCUGGUAGUCCACGCUGUAAACGAUGGAUACUAGGUGUAGGAGGUAUCGACCCCUUCUGUGCCGGAGUUAACACAAUAAGUAUCCCACCUGGGGAGUACGGCCGCAAGGUUGAAACUCAAAUGAAUUGACGGGG